CCGGCAGGCUCUGCUUUAUGACCUGUGCUUGUGAAAGUGUCACCGGCCCGAGUUGUUCCUCCCCUUCCAGCUCAUCGCCCGACUGCUGGAAAUCACCGGUCUCACCACCGCUCCCAGUCAGGAUCAACACUCAUCGCCGCCAUCUUGCCCGCUGUGUGACCCCGCCCAUCGGAACAUGACGUCAUACGUCGGAAGUACGGGCAGGAGGGCAUCACAGCGGAGGAACCAAUCACGGAGCGAUACUGGGAGUACAGUAGCCAAU